UCCAAUGUGGUGUAGUGGUUAACAUUGCUGUCCUUCACUAUUUUCAAUACUUUGCACAGCAGCCCAGGGUUCGAUUCCCCGCAUUGGAA